rnacentral:rRNA from 1 species
AGAGUUUGAUCCUGGCUCAGGAUGAACGCUGGCGGCGUGCCUAACACAUGCAAGUCGAGCGUGAUUGUUAUGAGUAGAGAUUUCGGUCAAAGCGAGUAACAUGAAAGCGGCGGACGGGUGAGUAACGCGUGGGCAACCUGCCCCAUACACGAGGAUAGCCACUGGAAACGGUGAUUAAUACUCGAUAAGACCACACUGCCACAUGGUAGAGCGGCCAAAGAUUUAUCGGUAUGGGAUGGGCCCGCGUCUGAUUAGCUAGUUGGUGAGGUAACGGCUCACCAAGGCGACGAUCAGUAACCGACCUGAGAGGGCGGACGGUCACACUGGAACUGAGACACGGUCCAGACUCCUACGGGAGGCAGCAGUGGGGAAUAUUGCACAAUGGGCGCAAGCCUGAUGCAGCAACGCCGCGUGAGUGAAGAAGGCCUUCGGGUCGUAAAGCUCUGUCCUGUGGGACGAAACAAAUGACGGUACCACAGGAGGAAGCCCCGGCUAACUACGUGCCAGCAGCCGCGGUAAUACGUAGGGGGCAAGCGUUAUCCGGAAUCACUGGGCGUAAAGGGUGCGUAGGUGGUUCUUCAAGUCAGAAGUGAAAGGCAGUGGCUUAACUCCGGCGCUGCAUUUGAAACUGCGGGUCUUGAGUGUUGGAUAGGGAAGUGGAAUUCCUAGUGUAGCGGUGAAAUGCGUAGAUAUUAGGAGGAACACCAGUGGCGAAGGCGACUUCCUGGACAACAACUGACGCUGAGGCGCGAAAGCGUGGGGAGCAAACAGGAUUAGAUACCCUGGUAGUCC